CUGGGACUACAGCAGCGUGUGCCUGAGAAAGUGUCGGAGCCUUUACCUCGACCUUCCCGUGAAAAAGGGAACAGAAUAGUCAACGGAAAAGGAGAAGAUUCCACUUCUGCAAGGCUCCACAGAAGUCUCCAACCUUCAAAUCUUCAGUCUCUGAAAGCACCGAUUCCUGAAAGGAUGGCCUCAAAUGACCAAGUAUACGAGCCGUCUAUAUCCCUGCUCCUGAAAAACAAGCUAACUGGACUCUCCAUCACCUGCCCCCAGCACAGAUGCACUACCAGCUACCCAGCUGAACUCCAUGACUGACUUGCCAUCCAAUCAUGCCCCUGACCCAGCCUACAUGAACAAGGGAAGGAACAUCAGCGAAUUAGGAAAAGAGGCAGAGGUGAGGAGACCACCUGUCCUGGGCCACAGAGCUAUGUAGAGUUCAGCAAUCUCUAGCCCCUUAGUAUUCCAGGGGCUCUAAACCACCUUCUGUAAGUCAGGAUGGAAGUAGAUGGUGCCACGAAGAUUUCUCUCUGCUGUAGCCACUCCUUCAGUGUCUCAAAAUGUUUUAACAUCUUUCAGUAAAAAUCUGUCAGUCCUUGAUAAAUUUUUAAAAAAAAGGCAGCAAAGUUUUUAGAGCUCCCUUGAACCUUCUAUUUUAAGGCGCCUUUGUAGAUAAUUCCCAACAUUCUGUGUGUCGGUCAUCUUUGGAAUUUAUCGAUCGAUCAUUGUUUCUCUUCAAACUUGGCCUUGCCCUGCCCAUUCCAUUCUUACCCGCUUUCAUUGGCUUCACUAGUCAAUUCCACACUCAUUCUAGACACUGGGUGCACGAGACUCACUCCCGUUUGUAUUACCAAAACUCAGGCCAAUAGGAUAUAAAAAGUAGGAAGAAUACUGGGAUUUAACAUGAGUACAAAUCUCAUUUCUUCCAAUUCCUAUGUCUUCUUGAAUCCUAAUCUUUCUGAGACUCAAGUUUUCUAUCUAAACGAUCCUUUGACCAGAAUGUUCAACAGACGUGACAAUACUAGAACGUGUUUUAAUUCAUUCUAAGAUUCCUUAAAAUUCUGUAAUUCUAUGUGCUUCUGAUUCUGGGAAUACAUAGCCAGCAGAAUUU
rnacentral:lncRNA from 1 species